GCGAUCCCAGGUCAGGCGGGGCUACCCGCUGAGUUUAAGCAUAUCAAUAAGCGGAGGAAAAGAAACUAACGAGGAUUCCCUUAGUAGCGGCGAGCGAACCGGGAGGAGCCCAGCAUGAAAAUCGUUCGCCGUCGGCGGCCGAAUUGUAGUCUGGAGAAGCGUCCUCAGUGACGGACCGGACCCAAGUUCACUGGAAGGUGGCGCCGGAGAGGGUGAGAGCCCCGUCGUGCCCGGACC
rnacentral:rRNA from 1 species